GCUGUCGACUGAAUCCAGGGCCCGGCUCCCCCAGGAAAGCAGCCUAGCGAGCUACGCCGUGGGUGCGGCCUCGCCGCCCCGCCCUCCCCGCCUGCACAGCCGCGCUGCACAGCCGCGCAGGCAUCAGCUGGCCUGCACUCGCCAGCCUCCCACGCACCGGGAUCCCUGUGCCACUAGUCCGUCCCUUUUUGACACGCGAUCGAUUUCUGCUCAUUGAAACGCAAGCUAGAAGGCAACACCCGCAGAUGGACCUCCGCACUCACUGUCCCCUUCCCCAAACCCUCCCGAAUCCGCAGGAGCCGCGGGAAGUCGUUACGGACAGCGAGGUUCGCACGCGGCUUCCCCGUCUCCAGUCACCCGAAGCCGCCUGCUCCUCGGCUGGGGCUCUGGGCGGAGGACGUGAGGCAGGGAGACCCAUCCUCCUGGGUGCCCUGCAGGAAGGAGCCUCGCCACUCCUACAGGACUUUCUGGCCGGGCACAGUCAUCCUCUCUCGCCCAUGACUCUCACUCCCGUCGGACCCUUCUGCUCCCUCUCAAGGAGGAGCAUCGGAAAGCAGGUCCUGGAGAUAGGCCUGUGUGGAUGUCCUCACUAUCCCAAGAUCAGACCCAGAGUGAACAGCUGUCCUGCCUCUUCUUCCGCUUUGUGUGCAGCUCCCCAGCAGGCGGGAGAGAUUCCAAUCCUCCCUACCUGGGUUCCUUGAGUACACCAGGGUCAGUGUGACAACCGAAACGACUCGAGUAACCGGAAGACUACACAACGUGGACACACUGGACAAAGGUGUAUCUCAGGAAGACGGUGCGGGGCUUUAUGGUGCUGCUUAGGACACCGGGCUGUUUAAAACGUCUGAGUUGGGGCGGGAUUUGGCUCCGUGGUUCCAGCUCCUGCCUCACAAGCGCAAGGACCCGAGUUUGAUCCCCAGUAACAACAACAAAAGAAUGUCCGAACUGUCUGGUCUAGAAUCUUCUGUUUUGAAUAUCAGAGCCCAGUAGAACGUGGGUGAUUGGGAGCUUGCGAAAGCAGCCACAAGUAAUGGGCGACAACUGCAGGAGUCACAGUGCACAUUUCCUGUACACAGCAGCCCUCAUCCUAGUAAAUAGCGGCAGGUGCCCUUGUUUUCCUGGGCCCAGGACUUCCAUGUCCUCGGUCCUACCUUUCCUUCCCAAAGCUUUCUACGAAAGGGCCUGUGCGGGAAAGUGUGUGCGUGCAGGUGUGUGAGUCGGUGUGUGUGUGGUUGAGGGGAUGCAGCACAGUGAGGUCUCAUAGUCUUGCCAUGUAGUCUAGACUGGCCUCGAAUUUCUGAUACUCCUGCUUCAGCCUCUUGAGUGCUAAGAAUCAUAGACAUUAUUUAUUUAUUUAUUUAUUUAUUUUGUACCGGGGAUUGAACUCAGGUCCUUGCGCUUGCAAGGCAGGCCACCGAACUGCUG
rnacentral:lncRNA from 1 species